GAGUGUGUAGCCAAGUGGUAUGGCUUUUGACCUUUAAUCAAAAUGUCGAGGGUUCGAUUCCCUCCACGCUCA
rnacentral:tRNA from 1 species